GAUGAACGCUGGCGGCGUGCCUAAUACAUGCAAGUCGAGCGAACAGACGAGGAGCUUGCUCCUCUGACGUUAGCGGCGGACGGGUGAGUAACACGUGGAUAACCUACCUAUAAGACUGGGAUAACUUCGGGAAACCGGAGCUAAUACCGGAUAAUAUAUUGAACCGCAUGGUUCAAUAGUGAAAGACGGUUUUGCUGUCACUUAUAGAUUGAUCCGCGCCGCAUUAGCUAGUUGGUAAGGUAACGGCUUACCAAGGCAACGAUGCGUAGCCGACCUGAGAGGGUGAUCGGCCACACUGGAACUGAGACACGGUCCAGACUCCUACGGGAGGCAGCAGUAGGGAAUCUUCCGCAAUGGGCGAAAGCUUGACGGAGCAACGCCGCGUGAGUGAUGAAGGUCUUCGGAUCGUAAAACUCUGUUAUUAGGGAAGAACAAAUGUGUAAGUAACUAUGCACGUCUUGACGGUACCUAAUCAGAAAGCCACGGCUAACUACGUG
rnacentral:rRNA from 1 species